GCAUCAUGCCCUUCCGUCUGAGAUCACUUUCCUUGUGCCUGAUGUGAGUACACUGUUUACAAUUUUCUUUAGUGUUAGCCUGCUGCUGGCAAACUCUUUCGUUAUUUGUCUGCAAAAUGUUUUUACUGUAACCUCAUUCUUGAAAUACUUUUGCUGGGUCUCUGAUUUGGGUUAGUGGUUUUCUUUUAGCAUGUUGAAAAUGUCACCCAACUGUUUUCUGGGUUCCUUUGAAAAGCCAGCUGUCUGUCUGUCUGGUUGUCAUGUCUGAAGGUGAUGUGUCUUUACCUCUGGCUGCUUUAAGUAUCUUUUGCCUUUUUCCCCUUUGUGAAUGUUUUUGCUGAAGUGUAACAUAUACACAAAAGAGUGUGCAAAUCAUCAAUGCUUGAUGGAUUCUCGAGAGCACACCCAUGUCACCUGCAUCCAGAUUGAAAAAUAUUCUCUAAUUAUUUAUUUGGAGACAGACUCUCGUUUCGUUGCCCAGGCUGGAGUGCAGUGGCACAAUCUCAGCUCACUGCAACCUCUGCCUCCAGGGUUCAAGCCAUUCUUGGGCCUCAGCCUCCUGAGUAGCUGGGAUUUACAGGCGUGUGCCACUACACCUGGUUAAUUUUUGUAUUUUUAGUAGAGAUGGAUUUUCGCCAUGUUGGCCAGGCUGGUCUCGAACUCCUGAGCUCAAGUGAUUCACCUGCUUCAGCCUCCUAAAGUGCUGGGAUUAUAGACAUGAGCCACUGCACCUGGCCAUUCUCUAAUAUUUUCUAACUUCCAUUAUAUUUUCUUCUUUGACACAUGGUGAUUGAAAAUGUGGAGGCUGAGGCAGGUGGAUCACUUGAGCCCAAGUGCAAGACCAGCCUGGGCAACAUGGCAAAACUCCAUCUCUACUAAAAAUACAAAAAAAAAAAAAAAAUAGCUGAGCUUGGUGGUGCUCACCUGUAAU
rnacentral:lncRNA from 1 species